GCUUAGCCCUGAUUGCAAUGACAUCCUUUUUGUUUUUCACAAAAAGAUAUAAUGAAAAGCAGGAAAACGC
rnacentral:sRNA from 1 species